ACGAACGCUGGCGGCAUGCCUAACACAUGCCAGUCGAACGAGACCUUCGGGUCUAGUGGCGCCCGGGUGCGUAACGCGUGGGAACCUGCCCUUAGGUUCGGAAUAACUCCCCGAAAGGGGUGCUAAUACCGGAUAAUGUCUUCGGACCAAAGAUUUAUCGCCUUUGGAUGGGCCCGCGUUGGAUUAGCUAGUUGGUAGGGUAAAAGCCUACCAAGGCGACGAUCCAUAGCUGGUCUGAGAGGAUGAUCAGCCACACUGGGACUGAGACACGGCCCAGACUCCUACGGGAGGCGGCAGUGGGGAAUAUUGGACAAUGGGCGAAAGCCUGAUCCAGCAAUGCCGCGUGAGUGAUGAAGGCCUUAGGGUUGUAAAGCUCUUUUACCCGGGAUGAUAAUGACAGUACCGGGAGAAUAAGCUCCGGCUAACUCCGUG
rnacentral:rRNA from 1 species